rnacentral:lncRNA from 1 species
GGACACCGUCAGAGCGCGGGGCUCGCGCGGGCGUUUGCCGUUACUUCAGUCAUCGGGAUUUAGGGAUAUACUGAAUGUUAAGCAUGUGAAGACCAGUGCAAGGUUUUACUUGUGCCCAGGAUCGCAGGCCUUCAUACGGUCUGAUGUCAACAUGACUGAGGUUACUAAAAAAAAAAUCAUUUCAGAUGCUGAAUGGCCAGGUUAUCU